rnacentral:rRNA from 1 species
GUUGUAUGGUUAAGUGACUAAGCGUACACGGUGGAUGCCUUGGCAGUCAGAGGCGAUGAAAGACGUAUUAACUUGCGAUAAGCCCAGUUUAGGCAGUAAAAGCCACUUGAGACUGGGAUUUCUGAAUGGGGAAACCCGGCCGCAUAAGCGGUCAUCGUUACGUGAAUACAUAGCGUAACGAGGCGAACUCGGGGAACUGAAACAUCUAAGUACCCGAAGGAAGAGAAAUCAACCGAGAUUCCGGCAGUAGCGGCGAGCGAAACCGGAUUAGCCCUUAAGCGAGUCUUGCGUUAGGUGAACAAGCUGGAAAGCUUGGCGAUACAGGGUGAUAGCCCCGUAACCGACAGCGCAUUAUUCGUGAAAACGAGUAGGACGGGACACGUGAUAUCCUGUUUGAAGAUGGGGGGACCAUCCUCCAAGGCUAAAUACUCCUGACUGACCGAUAGUGAACCAGUACCGUGAGGGAAAGGCGAAAAGAACCCC